rnacentral:snRNA from 1 species
CAAGGAUGUCAUACAUACAU